GGCCUUAUGGUGUAGUGGUAACAUAUCCUCAGUUAAUGGCCGAGACAAAAUUGGUAUGAGGAAGUCCCUUGUUCGAAUCAAGGUGAGGCCA